rnacentral:rRNA from 1 species
UACGAAGGGGGCUAGCGUUGUUCGGAAUUACUGGGCGUAAAGCGUGCGCAGGCGGCUUCUCAAGUCAGGGGUGAGAGCCCAGAGCUCAACUCUGGAAUUGCCUUUGAGACUGAGUGGCUUGAGUACGAGAGAGGUGAGUGGAAUUCCCAGUGUAGAGGUGAAAUUCGUAGAUAUUGGGAAGAACACCGGUGGCGAAGGCGGCUCACUGGCUCGUAACUGACGCUCAUGCACGACAGCGUGGGGAUCAAACAGG